rnacentral:rRNA from 1 species
GACGAACGCUGGCGGCGUGCUUAACACAUGCAAGUCGAACGGACAGGCCCUGCUUUUGUGGGGUGCUCGAUUGGCGAACGGGUGAGUAACACGUGAGUAACCUGCCCUUGACUUUGGGAUAACUUCAGGAAACUGGGGCUAAUACCGGAUAGGAGCUCCUGCUGCAUGGUGGGGGUUGGAAAGUUUCGGCGGUUGGGGAUGGACUCGCGGCUUAUCAGCUUGUUGGUGGGGUAGUGGCUUACCAAGGCUUUGACGGGUAGCCGGCCUGAGAGGGUGACCGGCCACAUGGGGACUGAGGUACGGCCCAGACUCCUACGGGAGGCAGCAGUGGGGAGUAUGGCACAAUGGGCGGAAGCCUGAUGCAGCAACGCCGCGUGCGGGAUGACGGCCUUCGGGUUGUAAACCGCUUUCGCCUGUGACGAAGCGUGAGUGACGGUAAUGGGUAAAGAAGCACCGGCUAACUACGUG